UAGAAUGGUGUAUAUGCCCAUGUCAUAUUUAUAUGGCAAAAGAUUUGUUGGUCCAAUUACUCCUCUCAUUUUACAACUGAGAGAAGAGCUGUAUGAUCAACCCUACAAUAAAAUUAAUUGGAGGAAAGUUCGCCAUGUCUGCGCAAAGGUAAAAAAAUAACAGAGUUAAAGACAGUUUAUUGUAUAACCCCCUGGUUUUUGAUGCAUUUGUUUCUUAAUGUUAAAAGAUAACUGAACAAAACAUGUAAAUGCAGGAGGACCUCUAUUAUCCUCAUCCAUUGAUACAAGACUUCAUGUGGGAUGGUCUCUACAUACUUACAGAACCUCUUCUAACUCGUUGGCCUUUCAACAAGUUACGAGAAAGGGCUCUUCAAACCACAAUGAAGCACAUCCACUAUGAAGAUGAAAAUAGCAGGUACAUAACAAUAGGAUGUGUAGAGAAGGUGCUAUGUAUGCUGGCCUGUUGGGUCGAGGAUCCCAAUGGGGAUUAUUUCAUGAAGCAUCUUGCAAGAAUCCCUGAUUAUAUAUGGAUCGCUGAAGAUGGAAUGAAGAUGCAGGUAAGACAAUAUGCUUUCCCUCCAAAAUCAUGAAUGUUUUGCAUUAGUCUCUGCAAAAACUAAGUUUCGCACAGUAUAGCGAUCGACUUCAAAUCAAUAUUUACUCCGACUCCUAAACUUUGCAAUGGCCAUUUUAAUGCAGAGUUUUGGAAGUCAAGAGUGGGAUACUGGUUUUGCCAUACAAGCACUGCUGGCUAGUGAUCUUACAGAAGAAAUCGGCCAGACUCUUAUGAAAGGGCAUGACUUCAUAAAGAAGUCUCAGGUCAGAGAUAACCCUUCUGGUGACUUCAAAGCCAUGCACCGGCAUAUUUCUAAAGGAUCGUGGACUUUUUCAGACCAAGAUCAUGGAUGGCAAGUAUCUGACUGCACUGCAGAAGCAUUUAAGGUAAAGAUCAUUUAAAUUGCAAAUGUGGUAAGAAAUGAAAAAAAUACAUUAAGGGUGCGUUUGAUUACAAGUAGGAAAAUUACAUGGAAAGAAAAUGAAUUCCAGGGAAUUGAAUUACCUAGAAAUUGUUUUCAUGGAAAUUGUAAAUUAUUGUGUUUGAUUGUAUAAAUUUUUCAUGUGGAAAAUGUUGAAGUAAAAGUAUUUUUUGAUGUUCGUUUGACUUUGUUUUACGUGAAAAAUUGUCAAUUUCAGGGAUAUCCUCUUUUACAAUUAUUCCUAAAAUUUAUUCCCAUUGCCAAUAAUUAAAAAAAAAUAAAAAAAGCAAAAAAAAAAUAAAAUAAAAAUAAGGUGGAAAACCAAAAACCACCUAUCCCCUAGGAAAAAAAAGGUGGAAAAUCACGCUUUAAGGUGUUGUACCUAGAAAUUCAUGGAAAAUCAAUUCCCUGGAAAAUUUUGUCAAUCAAACAGGCCAAAAGUGGAAGUUGGAAUUCGAAUUCCAAGUUCCAUGGAAAAUUUCGUGUAAUCAAACGGGGCCUAAGAUGGGUUCUCACCAACUGUUUUUCUUGUUCCUUUUUAUUACAGUGUUGCCUUCUCUUCUCAAUGAUGCCACCUGAAAUUGUUGGUCCCACAAUGGAAACUGAAAGACUCUACGACGCUGUCAAUAUAUUGCUUUCCUUACAGGUAUCAAUGUUUUAUCCUCUGACCAAUUAUAAAGUAACUUCUCAAGUUUUUUGAGUAUAUGUUGUUGGGCAUACCAAAACUCAUUUUUUUCCUGUAAUUUAUUUGGCAAUUCUAUACCUAGCCCUUGUUUGAUUCCCAUUUUUGAGAUAAAAUGAAUUAUGUAAUAGUAGUUUUUUGGAGAAUGUGUGGUUAAAAAGUAAGGAAAUUUUUUUGAAAUUCGUGUAUAAUUAUUUUAUAGAAAAAUGUGUGGAUGAAAAUGAGUUUUGAAAAAAUGGGGAUCAAACAAGGGCCUAGAUAGGUAAGUUCAAGUUCAUGAUUCAUAUGGUAUAACAACGCACUAGAACAAAAAAUUUUGUUUGAUAUGUCAGUUUUCUAAACAUUACCAUAAUAGCUAUUAAAAUACAUGGCCAACUGCAUAAAUGCUUACAGAGCAAAAAUGGUGGGUUAGCUGCAUGGGAGCCUGCAGGAGCCUCAGAGUGGUUGGAGGUAGCUUCUUCUUCUAAGUUUCUAAUUUAAAAAAGAAAAAGAAAAUAAUUAAAUCCGCCUGCAUGUACAUCUACACUGAGAAACUUAAGUUACUAAUUGUGCUUUAUUCUGCCACAGAUUCUCAAUCCUACAGAAUUUUUUGCCGACAUUGUUAUUGAGCAUGAGUACAAUUCACCUCAUUUGUUUUUUUCCCUUUUACGAAUACAAUUUAGUAAAGAGCUAGACUAACAUGAUUCUGAUGCAGGUAUGUCGAGUGCACUUCAUCUGCAAUACAAUCUCUAGUUCUGUUUAAGAAAUUGUACCCAGAACACCGGAAGAAAGAAAUAGAAAGCUCUAUAGCGAAGGCUGUGAAAUACCUCGAGGAUGUUCAAAAGCCUGAUGGAUCAUGGUAUACAUUUCUUCCCUAUUUUUGCGCUUUUUAUGUUCAAGCAUUGCACACUUUUAGCUAGUCUAUAAAGCAUGGAGAUGAAAUUUUGAAGGUACGGAAAUUGGGGAGUGUGCUUCACAUAUGGCACUUGGUUUGCCCUUGGAGGACUAGCAGCAGCUGGCAAGAGCUACAACAAUUGUCCAGCCAUUCGCAAAGCUGUCGGGUUUCUAUUAAAAGCACAAAGGGAAGAUGGUGGAUGGGGAGAAAGCUAUCUUUCCUGCCCCAAUAAGGUGGGUAACCAACUUGCUUAGUAGAAAAUAUAGUAACUGAUCUUAGCAUCACUAAUAAAACAGUGGAAAAUAUAAGUUCCUAAACUAAGAAUCGGACAAAAAGUUGACAGAAAAACAAAAAUAGCCCCUUACAGAUACAUCUAAUAAAACAGGAAUAUGUACCUCUGGAAGGAAAUCGAUCAAACUUGGUACACACUGCAUGGGCUAUGAUGGGUCUAAUUCAUUCUGGCCAGGUUAGCCUCUGGCACCAUAUCACUCUUUUAUAUAAAUAUUAUCUAACUGUUCUUCCUUAUAACCUAUUUCUUUCAUUUUAAUAGGGGGAUAGAGAUCCUACUCCUCUCCACCGGGGAGCAAAGCUUUUGAUCAAUUCUCAGUUGGAAAACGGUGAUUUUCCUCAACAGGUAAAUUAAGCAUCUUGAAGCCUUCCUUUUGUGUUUUCAUAUGAAAUAGUACAGCAACAUCAAGAAAAUGAUACAACAAUAUCCUGUAAUGUGAUUUUACAAGUUUAUUGCAACCACCACAUUGUCAAUUCAUUGGCAGGAAAUUACAGGAGUUUUCAUGAAGAAUUGCAUGUUACAUUACGCAGCAUACAGGAAUAUAUACCCCCUAUGGGCUAUAGCAGAUUAUAGAAGGAGUGUACCACUACUAUCUGCACCAGCCAAAAGCAUCUAACAACUACAUAAUUAAUAUCGUUCCACCGAAUUGAUGAGAGCAGUCUAUUUAAGCUUUACUUGUUUGAUUUUCUUAUCAAUACACGCAUUUAUACUACUUUAUUCUUUCAUUAAUCAUGCAUUGUUAUACAAGAGAGAUAUAUCAAUAAAAAGAUUUAUAUAUAUAUGUCCAAUUUAUCUCUGCGCACAAUGUCUACAAAUUCCAUAAACAUAAAACAGAAUAACAUGGUAAACCGAAAACGUAGUAAUGUGAAACCUUCUGUUAAAAAGAAUAAAAAUGAAAUUGUCAGUCAGAAAAAUAAAACCGUCUUCAUGAAAACACUCCAAAAAAAAAGGUUGAUGGAACCUUCACACGGUUAAAAGUUGUUUUCUUUGCUUGGCUAAGCAGAAGAAAAAGUAAUAUAAAAUAAAUUACACGAGCAGUUGGGGAACAGGGAUUAUAUUAUUGCAAAAUACUCCAUAAAAAUCUGUUACUGGCAUGAAUAAUUGAUAGAAGGAUCAGCAAGAAGGUUUGAUCAAUGCAGGAAACUCAGUGGCAGCUAAGUGUUGGUCUAAGUCUAGAUUAGCAUUCAAUACUAGAAUGCAACCCACGCCUUUUCUCAAAACCCAUCACCAAUGCAUCAGCAUGUGGUGGAAUUGAUUUCGAAGAGGUUGCGAAUGUCGCUAUGUCAUUGCUUAAACAAGGACAGGAGCCAUCUUCAUUUGUAAACUGCCAUUGAUGUUCCUACUCAGACCUUUUACUAUAUGUCAUCAUAUCCAUUAUCGCUUUAGUAGUGCAAAUAAUUUAAGAAAUUGAAAUAAAAUUUGAGAAAAAAAAAUUAACAUUAAAAUCUUGUAUAUCAUGCUGAAAUGCUUCCAAAAGCAUUAUAAUAAGAUUAAUUGAGCGCUGAAUUAACAAAAAAUAGAGAUAAAACCAACUUAACUUAGGAAUUAGGGUUGCUCGGCAUCUCGGCUAAAGACUCAGAGCUGGUGUCGGCGCUUAAGUGCAGGGGUUUAGCCGUUCUAGGUCAUUUGUAGGACAGUAGGAGACGGGAUACUCCUUUCCCUUGAGUUCAUUGCAAUGCGCUUUGCAACU
rnacentral:lncRNA from 1 species